AACAAGGCGUACCUGCGGACCUGCGGAAGGAUCAUUACCGAGUUUACAACUCCCAAACCCCUGUGAACAUACCUAUACGUUGCCUCGGCGGAUCAGCCCGCGCCCCGUAAAAAGGGACGGCCCGCCCGAGGACCCCUAAACUCUGUUUUUAGUGGAACUUCUGAGUAAAACAAACAAAUAAAUCAAAACUUUCAACAAUGGAUCU
rnacentral:misc_RNA from 1 species